UACGAAGGGGCUAGCGUUGCUCGGAAUCACUGGGCGUAAAGGGUGCGUAGGCGGGUCUUAAGUCAGGGGUGAAAUCCUGGAGCUCAACUCCAGAACUGCCUUUGAUACUGAAGAUCUUGAGUCCGGGAGAGGUGAGUGGAACUGCGAGUGUAGAGGUGAAAUUCGUAGAUAUUCGCAAGAACACCAGUGGCGAAGGCGGCUCACUGGCCCGGUACUGACGCUGAGGCACGAAAGCGUGGGGAGCAAACAGGG
rnacentral:rRNA from 1 species